GCAGUCGCUGUGACGUCACCCUUCUCUGACAUAAUCAAUGAAACUUUAGCAGCAGUCGCUGUGACAUCACCCUUCUCUGAUGUAAUGAAUGAAACUUUAGCAGCAACAAAUCCACCGAGUUAUGAAGAUGAUGUCGUCAGCCAGAUAUUAAAAAUCAACAGAG